rnacentral:other from 1 species
CGUUUUCUGCGGUGUUCGAGUAGUGGACUGGGUAACCCCUUGAUCCUAAUUGAUUAUACCCAGGGGCGCGGCUGCUGGUGCAGGUGUGCAUGUCUGCCGCGUUGUGGAAAGCCUGAUGCAUCGCGCUGCUCCCCACUUGAACCGCCGUGGUUCAAGGGCAAGGUCCGAGACGGCACAGGCGGAAAACGC